CCGUUGGCUUUUUAGACCGUGAGGGUUCAAGUCCCUCUACCCCCAUUAAA
rnacentral:tRNA from 1 species